GACUCUCGGCAACGGAUAUCUCGACUCUCGCAUCGAUGAAGAACGUAGCGAAAUGCGAUACUUAGUGUGUAUUGCAGAAUCCCGUGAACCAUCGAGUCUUUGAACGCAAGUUGCGCCCGAAGCCAUUAGGCCGAGGGCACGUCUGCCUGGGCAUCA
rnacentral:rRNA from 1 species